AGCGGCGGACGGGUGAGUAACGCGUGGGUAACCUGCCUCAUACAGGGGGAUAACAGUUAGAAAUGACUGCUAAUACCGCAUAAGACCACGGUACCGCAUGGUACAGUGGUAAAAACUCCGGUGGUAUGAGAUGGACCCGCGUCUGAUUAGGUAGUUGGUGGGGUAACGGCCUACCAAGCCGACGAUCAGUAGCCGACCUGAGAGGGUGACCGGCCACAUUGGGACUGAGACACGGCCCAA
rnacentral:rRNA from 1 species